rnacentral:RNase_P_RNA from 1 species
AGGGUUGACGAGACAAUCGCCUAGUUGCUAAUAUGUGACGAGGAGGAAAGUCCGGACUCCAUUGGGCAAAGAGCCAGAUAACAUCUGGGAGGUGCAAACCUACGGAGAGUGCCACAGAAAAUAUACCGCCAACCCAUGAAUUUUUAUGGUGUGGUAAGGGUGAAAAGGCGUGGUAAGAGCACACCGCAUUAUUGGUAACAAUAAUGGCAGGGCAAACCCCUCUUGGAGCAAGACCAAAUAGGAAUCUUCGCGAGAAAGAAAACUUCUAGCAUGUGUGGCUCACAUAUAGAUUCGGGUAGGUCGCUUGAGAUGGAUGGUAACAUCCAUACUAGAGUAAUGGUUGUCCACGACAGAAUCCGGCUUAUUGUCAACCCUUCUA